GCCCAGAGCCUGAAUCAGUGUGUGUGUUAGUGGAAGCGUCUGGAAAGGCGCGCGAUACAGGGUGACAGCCCCGUACACAAAAAUGCACAUGCUGUGAGCUCGAUGAGUAGGGCGGGACACGUGGUAUCCUGUCUGAAUAUGGGGGGACCAUCCUCCAAGGCUAAAUACUCCUGACUGACCGAUAGUGAACCAGUACCGUGAGGGAAAGGCGAAAAGAACCCCGGCGAGGGGAGUGAAAAAGAACCUGAAACCGUGUACGUACAAGCAGUGGGAGCACGCUUAGGCGUGUGACUGCGUACCUUUUGUAUAAUGGGUCAGCGACUUAUAUUCUGUAGCAAGGUUAACCGAAUAGGGGAGCCGAAGGGAAACCGAGUCUUAACUGGGCGUUAAGUUGCAGGGUAUAGACCCGAAACCCGGUGAUCUAGCCAUGGGCAGGUUGAAGGUUGGGUAACACUAACUGGAGGACCGAACCGACUAAUGUUGAAAAAUUAGCGGAUGACUUGUGGCUGGGGGUGAAAGGCCAAUCAAACCGGGAGAUAGCUGGUUCUCCCCGAAAGCUAUUUAGGUAGCGCCUCGUGAAUUCAUCUCCGGGGGUAGAGCACUGUUUCGGCAAGGGGGUCAUCCCGACUUACCAACCCGAUGCAAACUGCGAAUACCGGAGAAUGUUAUCACGGGAGACACACGGCGGGUGCUAACGUCCGUCGUGAAGAGGGAAACAACCCAGACCGCCAGCUAAGGUCCCAAAGUCAUGGUUAAGUGGGAAACGAUGUGGGAAGGCCCAGACAGCCAGGAUGUUGGCUUAGAAGCAGCCAUCAUUUAAAGAAAGCGUAAUAGCUCACUGGUCGAGUCGGCCUGCGCGGAAGAUGUAACGGGGCUAAACCAUGCACCGAAGCUGCGGCAGCGACGCUUAUGCGUUGUUGGGUAGGGGAGCGUUCUGUAAGCCUGUGAAGGUGUGCUGUGAGGCAUGCUGGAGGUAUCAGAAGUGCGAAUGCUGACAUAAGUAACGAUAAAGCGGGUGAAAAGCCCGCUCGCCGGAAGACCAAGGGUUCCUGUCCAACGUUAAUCGGGGCAGGGUGAGUCGACCCCUAAGGCGAGGCCGAAAGGCGUAGUCGAUGGGAAACAGGUUAAUAUUCCUGUACUUGGUGUUACUGCGAAGGGGGGACGGAGAAGGCUAUGUUGGCCGGGCGACGGUUGUCCCGGUUUAAGCGUGUAGGCUGGUUUUCCAGGCAAAUCCGGAAAAUCAAGGCUGAGGCGUGAUGACGAGGCACUACGGUGCUGAAGCAACAAAUGCCCUGCUUCCAGGAAAAGCCUCUAAGCAUCAGGUAACAUCAAAUCGUACCCCAAACCGACACAGGUGGUCAGGUAGAGAAUACCAAGGCGCUUGAGAGAACUCGGGUGAAGGAACUAGGCAAAAUGGUGCCGUAACUUCGGGAGAAGGCACGCUGAUA
rnacentral:rRNA from 1 species